rnacentral:rRNA from 1 species
GACGAACGCUGGCGGCGUGCUUAACACAUGCAAGUCGAACGGAAAGGCCCUGCUUUUGUGGGGUGCUCGAGUGGCGAACGGGUGAGUAACACGUGAGUAACCUGCCCUUGACUUUGGGAUAACUUCAGGAAACUGGGGCUAAUACCGGAUAGGAGCUCCUGCUGCAUGGUGGGGGUUGGAAAGUUUCGGCGGUUGGGGAUGGACUCGCGGCUUAUCAGCUUGUUGGUGGGGUAGUGGCUUACCAAGGCUUUGACGGGUAGCCGGCCUGAGAGGGUGACCGGCCACAUUGGGACUGUGAUACGGCCGAGACUGCUACGGGAGGCAGCAGUGGGGAAGAUGGCACAAUGGGCGGAAGCCUGAUGCAGCAACGCCGCGUGCGGGAUGACGGCCUUCGGGUUGUAAACCGCUUUCGCCUGUGACGAAGCGUGAGUGACGGUAAUGGGUAAAGAAGCACCGGCUAACUACGUG